rnacentral:rRNA from 1 species
UACGUAGGCGGUUAUAUAAGUCGUUUGUAAAAGAUCUCAGCUCAACUGAGUAAAGCGAAUGAAACUGUAUGACUUGAAUACGGUAGAGGUAAGUGGAAUUCCAUGUGUAGCGGUGGAAUGCGUAGAUAUAUGGAGGAACACCAAUGGCGAAGGCAACUUACUGGGCCGGAAUUGACGCUGAGGCACGAAAGCGUGGGGAGCAAACAGGAUUAGAUACCCUGGUAGUCC